UCUCAAGUGGUCUAGCGGUAAGGAUUCCACGCUCUCAACGUGGCGGCCGGGGUUCGAUUCCCCGCUUGGGAA
rnacentral:tRNA from 1 species